rnacentral:sRNA from 1 species
UAUUAAUUUUUUGAAAUUGUAUGUAAUAUAAUUUCAACCGAGAACACCGCGUUAUUUUGAGUUUGUUAACUAGAAAAAAAUCGCAAAUACUCAAUUAACUUUGCAUCACGUAGUGAUGUACAGGUUAAGUUAAAAAGGGCGCAUGGUGAAUGCCUUGGCACUAGAAGCCGAUGAAGGACGGGACUAACACCGAUAUGCUUCGGGGAGCUGUACGUAAGCUUUGAUCCGGAGAUUUCCGAAUGGGGAAACCCAGCAGUUUUAAUCAGCUGUUACUAUAUGGUGAAUUCAUAGCUGUAUAGAGGUAGACGUGGGGAACUGAAACAUCUCAGUACCCACAGGAGCAGAAAGAAAUUUUCGAUUCCCUAAGUAGCGGCGAGCGAACGGGGAACAGCCCAAACCAAUGAGCUUGCUCAUUGGGGUUGUAGGACUGAACAUUUGAGUUACCAAAGUUGUUGAUAAUCGAACAAUCUGGGAAGGUUGGCGAAACAGGGUGAUAGCCCCGUAGGUGAAAUCAAUGACCCUCAGUUCAGGAUCCUGAGUACGGCGACACACGUGAAACGUCGUCGGAAUCCGGGAGGACCAUCUCCCAAGGCUAAAUACU